rnacentral:rRNA from 1 species
GGUUAAGUGACUAAGCGUACACGGUGGAUGCCUUGGCAGUCAGAGGCGAUGAAAGACGUAGUAACUUGCGAUAAGCCCAGAUUAGGUAGUAACAACCAUUUGAGUCUGGGAUUUCUGAAUGGGGAAACCCACGUGCAUAAGCACGUAUCCUUACCUGAAUACAUAGGGUAAGGAGGCGAACCGGGGGAACUGAAACAUCUAAGUACCCCGAGGAAAAGAAAUCAACCGAGAUUCCGAAAGUAGCGGCGAGCGAAAUUGGACUAGCCCUUAAGCUUUACACGCGUUAGACGAACGGUCUGGAAAGUCCGACGAUACAGGGUGAUAGUCCCGUAGUUGACGACGUGUGUUCAGUGAAAUCGAGUAGGGCGGGACACGUGAUAUCCUGUCUGAAUAUGGGGGGACCAUCCUCCAAGGCUAAAUACUACUGACUGACCGAUAGUGAACCAGUACCGUGAGGGAAAGGCGAAAAGAACCCCUGUGAGGGGAGUGAAAUAGAACCUGAAACCGUGUACGUACAAGCAGUAGGAGCAGGCUUGUCCUGUGACUGCGUACCUUUUGUAUAAUGGGUCAGCGACUUAUAUUCAGUGGCAAGGUUAACCAUCUAGGGGAGCCGUAGGGAAACCGAGUCUUAACUGGGCGUUCAGUCUCUGGAUAUAGACCCGAAACCAGGUGAUCUAGCCAUGGGCAGGUUGAAGGUUGAGUAACAUCAACUGGAGGACCGAACCGACUAAUGUUGAAAAAUUAGCGGAUGACUUGUGGCUAGGGGUGAAAGGCCAAUCAAACCUGGAGAUAGCUGGUUCUCCCCGAAAGCUAUUUAGGUAGCGCCUCGGACGAAUACUACUGGGGGUAGAGCACUGUUAAGGCUAGGGGGUCAUCCCGACUUACCAACCCUUUGCAAACUCCGAAUACCAGUAAGUACUAUCCGGGAGACACACGGCGGGUGCUAACGUCCGUCGUGGAGAGGGAAACAACCCAGACCGCCAGCUAAGGUCCCAAAUUACUACUAAGUGGGAAACGAUGUGGGAAGGCUCAGACAGCCAGGAUGUUGGCUUAGAAGCAGCCAUCAUUUAAAGAAAGCGUAAUAGCUCACUGGUCGAGUCGGCCUGCGCGGAAGAUGUAACGGGGCUAAGUAGUAAACCGAAGCUGCGGCAAUGUGCUUUUGCACAUUGGGUAGGGGAGCGUUCUGUAAGCGGUUGAAGGUGUGUGGUAACGCAUGCUGGACGUAUCAGAAGUGCGAAUGCUGACAUGAGUAACGAUAAAGGGGGUGAAAAACCUCCUCGCCGGAAGACCAAGGGUUCCUGUCCAACGUUAAUCGGGGCAGGGUAAGUCGACCCCUAAGGCGAGGCCGAAAGGCGUAGUCGAUGGGAAACGGGUUAAUAUUCCCGUACUUCUUACAAUUGCGAUGGGGGGACGGAGAAGGCUAGGUGGGCCUGGCGACGGUUGUCCAGGUUCAAGUGCGUAGGCUUAAGAGUUAGGUAAAUCCGGCUCUUUCUAAGGCUGAGACACGACGUCGAGCACCUACGGGUGUGAAGUCAUUGAUGCCAUGCUUCCAGGAAAAGCCUCUAAGCUUCAGAUUGUAAGGAAUCGUACCCCAAACCGACACAGGUGGUCGGGUAGAGAAUACCAAGGCGCUUGAGAGAACUCGGGUGAAGGAACUAGGCAAAAUGGUACCGUAACUUCGGGAGAAGGUACGCUCUCGACGGUGAAGUCCCUCGCGGAUGGAGCUAUUGAGAGUCGCAGAUACCAGGUGGCUGCAACUGUUUAUUAAAAACACAGCACUGUGCAAAAUCGUAAGAUGACGUAUACGGUGUGACGCCUGCCCGGUGCCGGAAGGUUAAUUGAUGGGGUUAGACUUCGGUCGAAGCUCUUGAUCGAAGCCCCGGUAAACGGCGGCCGUAACUAUAACGGUCCUAAGGUAGCGAAAUUCCUUGUCGGGUAAGUUCCGACCUGCACGAAUGGCGUAAUGAUGGCCACGCUGUCUCCACCCGAGACUCAGUGAAAUUGAAAUCGCUGUGAAGAUGCAGUGUACCCGCGGCUAGACGGAAAGACCCCGUGAACCUUUACUACAGCUUGGCACUGAACAUUGACCCUACAUGUGUAGGAUAGGUGGGAGGCUUUGAAGCACGUACGCCAGUAUGUGUGGAGCCGUCCUUGAAAUACCACCCUUGUAGUGUUGAUGUUCUAACGUCGACCCCUAAUCGGGGUUGCGGACAGUGCCUGGUGGGUAGUUUGACUGGGGCGGUCUCCUCCCAAAGAGUAACGGAGGAGCACGAAGGUGGGCUAAUCACGGUUGGACAUCGUGAGGUUAGUGCAAUGGCAUAAGCCCGCUUGACUGCGAGAAUGACAAUUCGAGCAGGUGCGAAAGCAGGUCAUAGUGAUCCGGUGGUUCUGAAUGGAAGGGCCAUCGCUCAACGGAUAAAAGGUACUCCGGGGAUAACAGGCUGAUACCGCCCAAGAGUUCAUAUCGACGGCGGUGUUUGGCACCUCGAUGUCGGCUCAUCACAUCCUGGGGCUGAAGUCGGUCCCAAGGGUAUGGCUGUUCGCCAUUUAAAGUGGUACGCGAGCUGGGUUUAGAACGUCGUGAGACAGUUCGGUCCCUAUCUGCCGUGGGCGUUGGAAGAUUGAAGGGGGCUGCUCCUAGUACGAGAGGACCGGAGUGGACGAACCUCUGGUGUUCGGGUUGUGUCGCCAGACGCAUUGCCCGGUAGCUAAGUUCGGAAUCGAUAACCGCUGAAAGCAUCUAAGCGGGAAGCGAGCCCUGAGAUGAGUCUUCCCUGAUACUUUAAGUAUCCUAAAGGGUUGUCGGAGACUACGACGUUGAUAGGUCAGGUGUGUAAGUGCUGUGAGGCAUUGAGCUAACUGAUACUAAUUGCCCGUGAGGCUUAACCAU